rnacentral:rRNA from 1 species
UACGAAGGUCCCAAGUGUUAUCCGGAUUUAUUGGGUUUAAAGGGUGCGUAGGCGGGUUAUUAAGUCAGUGGUGAAAGUCUUCAGCUCAACUGAAGAACUGCCAUUGAUACUGAUGAUCUUGAGUACGAUUGAGGUAGGCGGAAUGUGUCAUGUAGCGGUGAAAUGCUUAGAUAUGACACAGAACACCGAUUGCGAAGGCAGCUUACUAAGUCGUAACUGACGCUGAUGCACGAAAGCGUGGGGAGCAAACAGG